UACGAAGGGGGCUAGCGUUGCUCGGAAUCACUGGGCGUAAAGGGUGCGUAGGCGGGUCUGUAAGUUAGAUGUGAAAGCCUUGGGCUUAACCCAAGAAGUGCAUUUAAAACUACAAAACUUGAGUAUGGAAGAGGGUCGUGGAAUUCCAGGUGUAGUGGUGAAAUACGUAGAUAUCUGGAGGAACACCGGUGGCGAAGGCGGCGACCUGGUCCUAUACUGACACUCAUACACGAAAGCGUGGGGAUCAAACAGG
rnacentral:rRNA from 1 species